rnacentral:sRNA from 1 species
UUCGACCCGAGCGAAGCGAGAGAACGUUGCGUCAGCAACGGCCCGCAGUGGCGAGUCAUCCUCUAUCACCGGCAG